CCGAGUUAGGGUAUAAUAUGCCCGACCUCCAACCCUUUGUCUACCUACUAUUUGUUGCUUCGGCGAGCCCGCUCCUUGAAAUAUAGGGGCCGCCGGGGGUCUAGUACCCCUGGUCAGUGCUCGUCGAUAGCCUAUAUUAAACUCUUGUUUAACUGUGUCGUCUAAGUAAAAAGCACUUAAUAAAUA
rnacentral:misc_RNA from 1 species